rnacentral:rRNA from 1 species
CGGCGGACGGGUGAGUAACGCGUGGGUAACCUGCCUUAUACAGGGGGAUAACAGUUAAAAAUGACUGCUAAUACCGCAUAAGCGCACAGUACCGCAUGGUAGUGUGUGAAAAACUCCGGUGGUAUAAGAUGGACCCGCGUCUGAUUAGCCAGUUGGCGGGGUAACGGCCCACCAAAGCGACGAUCAGUAGCCGACCUGAGAGGGUGACCGGCCACAUUGGGACUGAGACACGGCCCAAACUCCUACGGGAGGCAGCAG